rnacentral:tRNA from 1 species
GACUCUGUAGUGAAGUUCAUAGUGAGUUGCAAACUCAUUGAUGUAUAUUAAAAUAUACCGGGGUCU